rnacentral:pre_miRNA from 1 species
GGAUGGUGUAUACUCGGUUUGAUGAUGUCAUACUCCAUCACCGGGUAAACAUUCAUCCGC